CAACGCUACUGAAAUUUGAACUGUAUCGCAUUGCGUUCCUGCGCUCUCAAGGGAAUAGACGCUCUAUAUAUGUGGGCGUGUGAGAUACAUCCACUAGCCAUUUUGGCCGGUGAUGAAAAGCACUUUUACUGGGACUUCUCAUGAGCAUAUCGUUCUCUGAAAUGUUUAAAGGUGGGAUAGGAGAUGUUUUUCUGGCACAUGUUUUACCAUAUCAUCUAAAAAACUCCUCAUGACGCCAUAGCACCCAUUGAAAUAGAGUGUUUGGAAAAAAAACGUUAUCUUUUGGUCCAGUGUAGAGGGCGUAGUCAGAAGAAAACGGCAACCAAUAGAAGUAAUACUCAUCAUCACUUCUAUUUGUUUCUGACACGUCCAUCAACCGCCAGCACUCACCCCUCCUCCCUGCGCGUUCACCGACUCGUGAACUUGACCGACCCCGCCCCCAUCAUUCAUUCACACGACACGCGACAAGGCUCAUCAUCACUCGGCUAGUAGCAAGGUAACGAGAGUUAGCAGCAGGCUGAGCUACUUGGAAACUUUGGUGGCUUUUGCAGAGCUACAGGAAUACCUUUGGCUUUUGGAACACUGGACUAACCAUGUCAGGAUAACAUACUCCCUUGGAUUAUAGUCAUCGGACUCGCAAGACCAGACUCCAACACGGGCUGAAAUGGGGCCUGACACUCUUGGACACAGAUGUCGGCUACGGCAGCGGCUUCAAAUACGCUUUGAUGACCAUAUUUCUAAUCGAGAGUUGUGCGAACGAGCCAGACAAACCAGCUGGGAGGACGGAAGCACCCCUUCUCCAUCCGCGUUCAGUAACUGAAUACGGAUUCACCCCGUAGUCAACAGCAGACAGGGUCCUUCCACAACCACAUACUUAUGCCAGUAAAAGCUACAGCUUUUCUCCUCCGAUCCAAGAAGCCUGGACUGCAGUCACCAUCUCAACACACCAACCAAGAGAAAGGCGGAUGGCUCAAUUCAAUAUGGAAAAUUGCACGAUAAAAGUUCCAGGACAUGAAGGCUGCAUACUGUGAACGUCAACCUUCAGGGCACCGUCCUGCGCAGAAGACUUUCUACCCUAAGAGGGAUGGCUGACCGCAGACACUCACAACCAGCACAGACGCCUCCAACCUCAGACUAGGCCCUUCACAGUUGCUGCACUUACCCACCUUCCCAGAGUUUUUUGUGUGGUAAUGACAACUGUAAAUAUAGUAUAAAGUAAUGUAUCUAGUGUCAUGUGUAAUACAUUGUUUAAAAUGUCCAUACAUUUCAAUGACAGUAAAUAUUGGUGGACACAAUUUGACUGUGUGGCUUUUUUUUUAAUUCAUUCUCUGACUGAAAAUGCAAGGUUACAUAAUUUAUAUAUUCCACAAAACCACAAUCAGAAGAUUAUUUGACAGGUUGCAUUUAUUUUCUAUGUAUGAAAAAAAAACAAUGGUAACAAGACAAACGUGGUUCCAAACCAAAAAGGUGAGAUGUAUAAAUGUACAGAUGAAUGCUCCUACAGAUAAUGAAAAAUAAUAAAACUCUGCACACUGCCGAUUUGUGUGUUUUAUACCGUACUCUGUAUAAACCUUUUUAUAUUGCUCUAGUGGAGCAGGGUAACCCUGGCUUAUCCUGGGUAUUGUACUGUGUAUUACAACGUCAGCCCUGUUCAAGUGCCCCAUACUGUCUGUAGGCUGCAUGCCUGAAGAGACCGUUUGUCUCACCUGGUCCUACAUCAGCCCAAAGUCUUCCAUCAAAACUGAGAAGACCACAGCAUUUCCUUUCAAUGUUCAUGGCCAUCUCCUUACAGAUUGCGCAGAGGCGCCAGGUUGGUUGUGCUACUGGGCUGUGACUGAGGACCAGAUGUCAUGUGCCAGGUCGAACAUCAAACUGGGGUCACAGGUCAG